GGGUCAGUAGGUUGGUCGUGCCACCGGUACGUACUGGUCUCACUGAUUCCUCCUUCCUGAAGAACCGUAAUGCCAUUAAUUUGGUGUUGCGGGGAAGCAGGACUGUUACUUUGAAAAAAUUAGAGCGUUUAAAGCAAGCUGACGCUUGAAUACAUUAGCAUGGAAUAAUGAAAUAGGACGAUCGAUCCUAUUUUGUUGGUUUCUAGGAUUGACGUA
rnacentral:rRNA from 1 species